rnacentral:piRNA from 1 species
UGAAAGAAAGGUGCUUAAGCCAGCA